GGAAAUUUAUAUCUACAUCACAGAGAUGGGAUCAAAGUCUAUGCACGGCAUUUCUAGAUAUUUCGUGUCUGCACCCAGCCUGAAGUGCACUCCGCUCUGUCAGGAUUUCAACAUGAAAUUCAGCCCUGCUAUUUGGAUGAUAGUCAGAAACACCCUCUCCAGUGCUGAGGCGUCUCGCCAUGUGUCCGGAUGAUGCACAAGCACCACAGAUGGACAGAAACGUACGUGCAAAUAUUCCC
rnacentral:lncRNA from 11 species